GGGGCUGAUUUUGGAUUCGACAGGACUCUAGAAGCUUUAGGUGCAUGCAGAGGAGCGGUUUGCCUCUAUAAAAGCCGCAUUUAAAUAGUCGCAAACGACGAAAACUACGCACUAGCCGCUUAAUACCCGGCAGUGCCCUUCCACUCAUACUCUUUCUGCUAGUAGAGGUUCGGAAGGUCAUCCCAGCAGGAUAGCGAGGGAACCUUGUCUAAGGGUGAACCGCGAAAUAGUAUUAGGCCAGCUGCAACGAAAUCCUGUUUGUCGGAGUUCCACGUAGUUAAAUAAAAGACAAAAUAAGCAUGUAGUACCGACGGUUGACGUGUUCUGGACGCGGGUUCAAGUCCCGCCAGCUCCACCA
rfam:Paraglaciecola psychrophila 170 chromosome, complete genome.